ACAAAAAAGAUGAAACCAUUACGGAUGUAAAUGAGUACUAGCUCACGCGUCCGAGAGCGCAUAAUUCGUGUGGAUGCUUCCGUUGCCUUCCUUCUGACUACUUUC
rnacentral:snoRNA from 1 species